AACGAACGCUGGCGGCGUGCUUAACACAUGCAAGUCGAACGCGAAAGGGACUUCGGUCCUGAGUAAAGUGGCGCACGGGUGAGUAACGCGUAGAUAACCUGUCUUCACGUCUGGAAUAAUACGCCGAAAGGGGUACUAAUACCGGAUAUUCUUGCUUUUCAUAAGUUUUGCAAGGAAAGGUGGCCUCUGAAUAUGCUACUGCGCGAAGAGGGGUCUGCGUACCAUUAGCUAGUAGGUGGGGUAAUGGCCUACCUAGGCUACGAUGGUUAGCGGGUCUGAGAGGAUGGUCCGCCACAAUGGCACUGGAACCCGGGCCGGACUCCUACGGGAGGUAGCAGUGAGGAAUAUUGCGCAAUGGGGGAAACCCUGACGCAGCGACGCCGCGUGAGUGAGGAAGGCCUUCGGGUCGUAAAGCUCUGUCAAAGGGAAAGAAGUGCAUGAUGGCUAAUACCUGUCAUGUUUGACGGUACCCUUAAAGGAAGCACCGGCUAACUCCGUGCCAGCCGCCGCAGUAAUAC
rnacentral:rRNA from 1 species